rnacentral:rRNA from 1 species
AGAGUUUGAGUACCUGGCUACAGAACGAACGGCUGGCGGCAGGCUUAACACAUGCAAGUCGAACGCCCCGGCAAGGGGAGUGGCAGACGGGUGAGUAACGCGUGGGAAUCUACCCAACCCUGCGGAAUAGCUCUGGGAAACUGGAAUUAAUACCGCAUACGCCCUACGGGGGAAAGAGUUUAUCGGGGAUGGAUGAGCCCGCGUUGGAUUAGCUAGUUGGUGGGGUAAAGGCCUACCAAGGCGACGAUCCAUAGCUGGUCUGAGAGGAUGAUCAGCCACGUUGGGACUGAGACACGGCCCAAACUCCUACGGGAGGCAGCAGUGGGGAAUAUUGGACAAUGGGCGCAAGCCUGAUCCAGCCAUGCCGCGUGAGUGAUGAAGGCCUUAGGGUUGUAAAGCUCUUUCACCGGUGAAGAUAAUGACGGUAACCGGAGAAGAAGCCCCGGCUAACUUCGUG